rnacentral:misc_RNA from 1 species
GGAGCAGUCAGUGUGUAGUGUAGCGCGCUCGCGACAGUACCGACCGGUCGACGACUACAAAUUCGCAUUUGACAAAAUUCGUUGGUUUUUCGUUUUGUUUUGGUUUUUUUUUUUUUACUUAUUUUGUUUCCCUCCUUUACAAUUGAUUGUACCCGAAAAUUGUUCUCCUUAUUCUUUCGUCGUUUCGCAUAUUUAUUUUUGUGAUUGCGUUUUGUGUGCUAUAUAAUACAUGGAAAUUCGGAAAAAAAGAUUUUAAACAAUUUCGUUCAAUCAUUAUUAAUGUAAUCGUUAUUAUUUUUUUUUUUUUUUUUAACUAUUUCGAUUCAAAAAUUUUUUUAAAUCAAUAGUGAUAUAUAAUUGCCCUUGGAAUUUAACUCAAAUCUACUAAAUGUGUUUGGGCGGCGUCCACCACGAACUCGCGGCGGCGUCAUGGCGGACACGAUCUGAGCUGCAGUUGCGGAUGCGGCGCGUACACAGCCGCGGCCGAUGUGGAUCCCGAUGAUGGCUGCGGCCGCACAACACGACAGGGUCGUACUGUCACCGCGCCGGUUGCAGCAGCAUCAACAGCAGCAGCACACUCCGUCGCCGGAUCGCGAUCGACAUGGCCGUCGUACAUAUCUGCACAUGGUGCCCAUGUUACCUCCACCUGCCGUCCCUUCGACCAAUGACGGUCAGGACACAAUUAUUUCGGAUCGCCUCCAAGACACUUCAUUCCAAUAUACAUCCACUGCACCAUCAGUCAUUUCAGGAAAUGCAUUUACUACCCCGUCAAAAAUCCCCAACUCCAUCAACAAACUGAACUUAAUACAGUCACACUCCAAUAAAUGGGGCAGCUCAAGAAAGGUGCACGAAAGAUCCACUGGACCGGACUGGUUCGAGACGAAAAUGGCAAAUGCUAAGCUAGAGAAAAAAAGAUCGUCAAAGUGUUUUUGGAGCUCGUCAUUCGUAGUGGACCCAACCACGCACUUUCAUUAUAAGUGGCUUAUGUUAGUAACCGUCACAAUUCUAUACAAUUUGGUAUUUGUGAUCGGCCGUGGCGUAUUCUGGGAGCUGAACAAUGCGAUGCCGACCAUCUGGUGGAUACUGGACUACGCUUCUGACGGGAUCUACGUAGUUGACACACUAGUACAUGCACACGAAGGUUUCCUGGACCAAGGUCUCAUGGUUCGCAAUUCUCAUAAGCUUCGGGAAAACUACUUCAGUACGUCCAAAUGGAAAUCAGACUUCCUGAGUCUGCUUCCCACCGACUUGGCGUACUUGUGGUGGCCGUCCGGCAGCUGUUCGGCAUACGUCCUGCCCUGUCCUGUAAUCGUCCGUGCCAAUCGACUGCUCCGAGUACCGAGGAUGCUGGAGUUCUUCGACCGAACAGAAACCAAAACCGGGUACCCAAACGUGUUCCGAAUUUGCAAGGUGGUGUUCGCCAUACUCAUACUCAUACACUGGAACUCAUGCUUAUAUUUCGCUAUAAGCUAUGUGAUCGGGUUUGGGUCAGAUAAUUGGGUGUACAACUUGCAAGGUACUAGGAAUUCAUCGCUUUCUAGACAGUACAUUUACUGUUUUUAUUGGUCGACACUUACGCUCACAACUAUAGGAGAGACACCGCAGCCGGAAAACGAAUUGGAACACGUGUUCGUAGUGGCCGAUUUCCUUGCCGGUGUGCUCAUUUUUGCUACCAUCGUGGGCAAUAUCGGCAGUAUGAUCAGCAAUAUGAAUGUGGCCAGGGUAGAGUUCCAGAAUCGCAUGGAUGGCGUUAAACAGUACAUGGCCUUCCGGAGGGUUUCUAAGGAGCUGGAAGCAAGAGUUAUUAGAUGGUUUGCCUAUACUUGGGCUAACAAACAGGCUCUUGAUGAAGAACGUGUAUUAGCAGCUUUACCAGAUAAACUAAAAGCUGAGAUAGCUAUACACGUACAUCUCGACACAUUGAAGAAGGUCGAGAUAUUUCAGGACUGCGAACCUGGCUUAUUAGAAGAACUCGUGCUCAAGCUCAGACUCCAAGUGUUCAGCCCUGGAGACUACAUAUGCCGUAAAGGAGAUGUGGGCAAAGAAAUGUACAUAGUAAAGAGAGGCAUUCUUAGUGUCGUUGCCGACGACCAAAAAACCGAAAUCGCCACUUUAAGCGCUGGAAGCGUUUUUGGAGAGGUAAGCGUACUAGAAAUAGCUGGAAACAAAACAGGCAAUCGUCGCACAGCCAACGUCCGGAGUUUAGGGUACUCUGAUCUAUUUUGUCUGUCCAAAAGAGAUCUCUGGGAAACACUAAGGGAUUAUCCCGAAGCUAGACACAGCCUAAUGCAACGUGGUUGUCAGCUACUGCGAAAGGAUAGACUAUUAGAUGAGGACGCGUUCCUACAAGCUCAGACGCAAAAUGAAACCAUAAACGAAGCAGUGUCUAGAUUAGACUGUAACCACUACGUGUCCCCGAACCGAGGCGUGGAAGGAUACAUUAGAUUAGCCAACAGCAGGGACGAAUUCGGACAGCCAACUCUGCGGCAGUCCAAUCGCAAGCAGUCAAAGAACAAGUCAAAAUUCUCGACGGUCGUUAUGAAACCGAACCGGAAGCAAUUCGCUCAAGUUUGUACGUCGCCAAUGAGGAUACCACAAUGAAAGAUGUGACUACUCGGUUGUCAAAUCUCGUGACCGAAUAUUACAAUCAAAAUGUCAAGCUCAAUGAAAAAAUUACCGAAUUGGAGGAACAAAUACGAGUUGUCAAAUAUCAUUCAAUAACUGAUUCAAAAUACGAGGAUCAACAGGGUUCGAAUGUUGAAAAUGACUCAACUUCGUCAUCUAGCCAAUCAACGGUAUUCGGGACUUAUGCCACAAGGAGAUCGUUUAACGUUCCAAAGAAUUCUUGGGCUCGAAGG